AUUGAACGCUGGCGGCAGGCUUAACGCAUGCAAGUCGAGCGGAGAGAGGUAGCUUGCUACUGAUCUUAGCGGCGUACGGGUGAGUAAUGCUUAGGAAUCUGCCUAUUAGUGGGGGACAACAUUUCGAAAGGAAUGCUAAUAACGCAUACGUCCUACGGGAGAAAGCAGGGGCUCUUCGGACCUUGCGCUAAUAGAUGAGCCUAAGUCGGAUUAGCUAGUUGGUGGGGUAAAGGCCUACCAAGGCGACGAUCUGAAGCGGGUCUGAGAGGAUGAUCCGCCACACUGGGACUGAGACACGGCCCAGACUCCUACGGGAGGCAGAAGUGGGGAAUAUUGGACAAUGGGCGCAAGCCUGAUCCAGCCAUGCCGCGUGUGUGAAGAAGGCCUUAUGGUUGUAAAGCACUUUAAGCGAGGAGGGGGCUACUUUAGUUAAUACCUAGAGAUAGUGGACGUUACUCGCAGAAUAAGCACCGGCUAACUCUGUGCCAGCCGCCGCCGUAA
rnacentral:rRNA from 1 species